rnacentral:rRNA from 1 species
CAGCAGCCACGGGAACACCAGCACCUCGAGUGGUCAGGAGGUUUAUUGGGCCUAAAGCAUCCGUAGCCGGUUGCAUAAGUUUUCGGUUAAAUCUAUGCGCUUAACGUAUAGGCCGCCGAAAAUACUGUGCAGCUAGGGAGUGGGAGAGGUACACGGUACUCGAUAGGAAGGGGUAAAAUCCUUUGAUCUAUUGAUGACCACCUGUGGCGAAGGCGGUGUACCAGAACACGUUCGACGGUGAGGGAUGAAAGCUGGGGGAGCAAACCGGAUUAGAUACCCGAGUAGUCCCUGUCUCUUAUAA